rnacentral:rRNA from 1 species
UCUAAUACCGGAUACGACCUCUGGGGGCAUCCCUGGAGGUGGAAAGCUCCGGCGGUGCAGGAUGAGCCCGCGGCCUAUCAGCUUGUUGGUGGGGUGAUGGCCUACCAAGGCGACGACGGG